UAUAAUAUUGUUUACUAUAAAUGUAUACAAUUACACUUAUCUACGAACAACAACUGUAGUGUUGUGUAGAUGCGUAGAAUCAUUGAACAGUAAUUACUAAUUGUACAACAACAACGGUGGAGUAGAGAAAAUUACCGUAAACUGUAGAGCACCUGAACACUGCUGUAGUGCUGUAGUGUUUUGUAAAUAUUGCGUAGCGCACUAUAGCCACUAGUGAGUUGUAGUGACUAUAGUGCGUCGUUCACUCGUACCAUCAUCUCACGAGUAACGACCACAGGAUGACGUACUGACGUCCCACUCGUCGACCGACGUCGUUAUAAAUGUAUAAUAUACUUUUAAAGUGUUAUAAGUGUACCUAUAAUGUCUUGUAACAAUUUAACUUGUGUCUUGUUACUCUCGUUCGUUAACCGAAACCGACGAGCGGUGGCGGACGGACACUUCGUGAAGUGGAGCGCGUAUAGGUGAUUCGAGAUUUCAUCGCAAUUUUUUGUUUGUACACAAAUCAAGUAUUUCGGGACGCCAAGUCUGUCGUAGGCUUAAUAAUUGCUAUCGUUAGUAGUUAUUCGUCUCCACUUCCCUACGAUAAGUAAUAGGUAGCGUUGAUUAAUGUUUAUACAUAUUAUGUAUAAUCAAUGGUAAUAGUUUUUAAUAAUUAUAAUAUAUUAUAUAUAAUUAGUAAUUAUUAUAGUAAAUAGGUCAAUGUUUUUUUAUUGCUCUAUGGUCAUUGUCAACAAUAAGUCGAUAACGUACAUAUUAAAUUUGAUACGAAUCAUCAUCGUUUUGCGUUACAGAAAUAGAUAACGGAUGCUGUUGCUUUUCUAAACUUAUGGUUUCCUGAUUUGUAUUGACUGGCUAUUUUUUAAUGAUUAAACUGUCUGCCAAAUGCCCGAUUCCUGGCACCAUUUCCAUGUCGAUUAACUUAAAUAAUAAAUAUAUUAUCAAAAAUUGUAUUUUUAGUUUGUUUUGUAUCUUAGUAUCUUACAUAUUAUUUUUUAUUAGUUGUUAGUUAAUUGCAUAUUUCAAUAUUUGUAUUACCACCGGCGCAAGGAUACAUUGUUUUUAAUUCACGACAAGUUUUUUUUUUUAUUUCUUGACGUUUAUUUUGCGUACUCACUCUCUUCGCGGUCUAGUAAGUAGUAGGUAGGUAGGUAUAUAAAAUAUAAAUAAACAGGUAGGUGUCUAAUUUUUAAAAAUCGUCACAGAAUGUACAAAUUUUAUAGCGAAGGCUGUGAAAAUGUAAUACAACAGCUAUAUUUCUCAUGAGCUGUUUUUACUGAAAUCUAAAAAUUUAACAAAUAUAUAAGCAAAAAAAUGUUUUUAUUGAUAUUUGCAGUACAAAUUGUGAAGGAAUUACGAAGAAUAACGAUUUUAGUUAUUAUAUUGUAAUUCGAAAAUAAUCGUGGAGACUUGCAACUUGUAUAUAUUAUAUUUUUUUUAUAUAUUUAUAUUUUAUUAUACGCAAUGACAUUUUUAAGCUUUUACCUAUUUAUACCAUGAACCUAUUCACCGUUCUGCGGUGGGUCUAAAUUGGGCAUCGACUCAAAAGCUAAUAACAAUAAUACCAUAUGAUAUAAAUAUGUACUCCGUAUCUACCUAUUAUGAUAACUAUUAACCAUGAACUAAGUUCAUGCUAUUAACCACAAUAAAAUAAUAAAUGAUAUGUCAAAAAUUAAUUUAACCUUCCAUAUUUCUAAUAGUAAAAUACAUUUCUUUAGUAGCAGUAUAAAUUGGUACCUAUAACCUAUAUAAUAAAAUAUAGGAAGCCCGGCCUCCGCUUAGAAUCGCUUUUCUUAUGCAAUGAUUUAUCGAUUAAUUUAAAUAGAUAAUACAUCCACGAUCCACCAUUUCAGCGACAAACUCGAUGACGGGUUCACUCAACACUUACUAUACAGCAGUCAGCAGAAUAUAUUACACGAUGUUACAAAAACUCAAUAUGAACUAUAAAGUACAGGAGAAUGGACAUUGGCGUAAUGUACAAAACAUAGGCGGAUAAGGCACUUUUGGCCUACCUGGAAAUUUUAAAAAGGGCAUGAAAAAAAACCGCUAAGCAGUUAUUGUGUCACACAAUAUUAAAGGACCUCUUGCUCAAAUACGGAGCAGGCCCACUGGAAAAUUCCCUGCUUCCUGGUAUCCGCCCAUGGUGCCAAUUGUAGGUUCGAGUUAAUUCUACGACGAUGUAGACAUUGUUUUCCAUUAUUCUAAAUA